rnacentral:rRNA from 1 species
UACGAAGGGGGCUAGCGUUGCUCGGAAUUACUGGGCGUAAAGGGAGCGUAGGCGGAUCAUCAAGUCGGGGGUGAAAUCCCGGGGCUCAACCCCGGAAUGGCCUUCGAGACUGGUGGUCUUGAGUUCGAGAGAGGUGAGUGGAAUUCCGAGUGUAGAGGUGAAAUUCGUAGAUAUUCGGAAGAACACCAGUGGCGAAGGCGACAUACUGGCUCAUUACUGACGCUGAGGCUCGAAAGCGUGGGGAGCAAACAGG